rnacentral:lncRNA from 1 species
GUACAGAAACGCCACUGGUUUCUGGACCCUGAGUUUGUAUCCCGCCACACUGCUUAACUUGCUGUAGGUGUUCAGCAAUUUCGGGUGGAGUCUUUUGGGUUUUCUAGGUACGGUAUCAUGUCAUCGGCGAAGAGGGAGAGUUUGACUUUUCCUUUGUGGGUUUGAAUGCCUUUUAUUUCUUCUCGUUGCCUGAUUGCUGAGGCCGUGACGUCUCAUACUAUGUUGAGAAUAGCAGCGGUGAGAGUGGACAUCCCCGUCUCGUGCCUGGUCUUCGGGGAAAGGCUCCCGGUGUUUCCCCAUUGGGAAUGAUAAUUUGCCAGGGGCUUGUCGUAGAUGGCUUUGAAGAUGCUGAGGGACUUUCCCUCUAUCUCUGUACACUGAAGCGUUUGGAUCAGGAAUGGAUUUUGUCAAAUGCUUUCUGUGCGUGUCUUGAGAGGAUCAUCUGGUUCUUGUUUUUUCUCUUGCAGAUCUGAUCAGUCACACGGAGUGCUUGCCGAGUGUUGAAUCGGCCUUGCGUUCCGGGGAUAAAUGCCACCUGGUCACGGUGAGUAACUUCUCAAUGUACCGUUGGAUCCUAUUGGCUCGUAUCUUGUUGAGGACGUUUGCAUCCGUGUUCAUCGGGGACAUCGCAGUAUAAUUCCCCUUUUGGGUGGGGUGGAGUCUUUCUCUGCUUUUGGACAUAAUGUGAUGCUGGCCUCCAAGAACGAGUUUGGAAGCAUUCCAUCUCUUGUCUAUCUUUCGGAACCGCUUGAGCAGAAAUAGGUACGGUUUAUUCUUUAAACGUUGAUCGCAUUCCCCAGGGAAGCCAUCCGGCCCUGGGGUUUUGUGUCUCGGGAGGUCUUUGAUGAUGACUGCUUCAGUUUCCUCCCUGGAUAUUGGCCUGUUCGGGUUUUCUGUGUCUUCCUGUUCCGGUUUUGGUAGUUUGUGGUUUUCAGGAAAUGCGUCCGUUUCUUCUCGAUUGCACAAUUUACUGGCGUACAGCUGCUCAGGAUGAGUUUUAAGAUCCUUUGCAUUUCCUUGGUGGUGGUGGUGAUCUCUCGUUUCUCAUUCAUGAUUUUAUUAAUUAGAGUCUUCUCUCUUCUUUUUAUAAGGCUGGCUUAAUGAUUUUUCUCUCUCUUAUUGGUUCUUUCAAAGAUCCACCUCCUGGUUUUGUGGAUGUGUUUCUCCGGUUCUUCUGCUCUCCAUUUCAUUGAGUUCUGUUCGAAUUUUUAUUAACCAUCGUCUUCUGCUGGGUGAAGGUUUCAUUUGCUGUUCCUUCUCCAGCUCCUUUAGGUGCAAGGUUAGCUUUUGUAUUUGAGUUCUUUCCAGUGUUGGAUGGACACUUGUAUUGCGAUGUAUUUGCCCCUCGGGACCGCUUUUGCCGUAUCCCAAAGAUUUGGAACAGGUUGUAUCUUCAUUCUCGUUGGUUUUUGUGAAUCUUUUUAAUUCUUCUCUAAUGUCCUGGUUGAACCUUUCGUCUUUUAGCAGGAUGGUCCUUAACCUGCACGUGUUUGAAAUCCUUGCAAACUUCUUCUUGUGGUUGAGUUCUAGUUUCAGAGCAUUAUGGUCUGAAAAUACGCAGGGGACGAUCCCAGUCUUUUAGUAUCGAUCACGACCUGAUUUGCGACCCAGUAUGUGGUCUCUUCUGGACAAAGUUCCACGUGCACUUGAGAAGAAUGUGAAUUCAGUUGCAUUUGGAGGUAAAGUUCUGUAAACAUCUGUGAGAUCCACGUGGUACACUGCAUCCUUUCAUGCGCUUGUUUCUUUGGAGAUGCUGUGCCUGGAAGAUCUAUCAUUCCUAGAAAGCGCCGUGCUCGAGUCUCCAAGUCAAAGUGUCUUAUUACCUAAGUAUGUCUUAACUUUGGUUACUAAUUGCUUGAUAUCCUUGGCAGCUCCCACAUUCGGGGCAUAGAUAUCCAUGAUU